GUACACACCGCCCGUCGCACCUACCGAUUGGAUGAUCCGGUGAAAUCUUCGGAGAAGAAGUUUAUAUGGGGUAACUCAUUGGCUUUUUCAAAGUUGCUUAAACCUUAUUAUCUAGAGGAAGGUAAAGUCGUAACAAGGUUUCCGUAGGUGAACCUGCAGAAGGAUCA
rnacentral:rRNA from 1 species